rnacentral:rRNA from 1 species
UACAUGGGGUGCAAACGUUGCUCGGAAUUAUUGGGCGUAAAGCGCACGUAGGUGGUCUGUUAUGUCAGAUGUGAAAGCCCUCGGCUUAACUGAGGAAGUGCACCUGAAACUGGCAGGCUUGAGUACGAAAGAGGGUCGCGGAAUUCCCGGUGUAGAGGUGAAAUUCGUAGAUAUCGGGAGGAACACCGGGUGGCGAAGGCGGCGACCUGGUUCGAUACUGACACUGAGGUGCGAAAGCGUGGGGAGCAAACAGG